GAUGAACGCUAGCGGCAGGCCUAAUACAUGCAAGUCGAACGGUGUCUUCGGACAUAGUGGCGCACGGGUGCGUAACACGUAUGCAACCUACCUUACAUUGGGGGAUAGCCUUUCGAAAGGGAGAUUAAUACCGCAUAAGACAGUAGCUGGGCAUCCAGCAGCUGUUAAAGAUUUAUCGAUGUAAGCUGGGCAUGCGUCCAAUUAGCUAGUUGGUGAGGUAACGGCUCACCAAGGCUAUGAUUGGUAGGGGAACUGAGAGGUCAAUCCCCCACACUGGCACUGGGCUACGGGCCAGACGCCUCCGGGAGGCAGCAGUAGGGAAUAUUGGGCAAUGGACGCAAGUCUGACCCAGCCAUGCCGCGUGCAGGAUGAAGGCGUUAUGCGUUGUAAACUGCUUUUAUACAGGAAGAAACGACUCUUGCGAGAGGCAUUGACGGUACUGUAUGAAUAAGCACCGGCUAACUCCGUGCCAGCCGCCGCCGUAAUAC
rnacentral:rRNA from 1 species